rnacentral:lncRNA from 1 species
CCUGGACAAGCUCCACUCUUUCAUGGCUGCAGGAUGGUAGCUGCUUCUCUGUCAAGGCAGGAGCCAGUCACUGCCCGAUUUUCUUACUGCCCUGGAAUUCCCCUGAGCUGAAAUGCUGCAUGUUUUCCUGCUACGCUGUGCACUGGGAAGCUCAUCAACUGGGCAGACUACCAAACUGGCA